rnacentral:misc_RNA from 1 species
GAAAUGCGAUAAGUAAUGUGAAUUGCAGAAUUCAGUGAAUCAUCGAAUCUUUGAACGCACAUUGCGCCCCCUGGUCUUCCGGGGGGCAUGCCUGUUCGAGCGUCAUUUCACCACUCAAGCCUCGCUUGGUAUUGGGCAACGCGGUCCGCCGCGUGCCUCAAAUCGACCGGCUGGGUCUUCUGUCCCCUAAGCGUUGUGGAAACUAUUCGCUAAAGGGUGUUCGGGAGGCUACGCCGUAAAACAACCCCAUUUCUAAGGUUGACCUCGGAUCAGGUAGGGAUACCCGCUGAACUUAAGC